rnacentral:rRNA from 1 species
GACGAACGCUGGCGGUGUGCUUAACACAUGCAAGUCGAACGGUAAGGCCCUUUCGGGGGUACACGAGUGGCGAACGGGUGAGUAACACGUGAGUAACCUGCCCUCAUCUCUGGGAUAACAGUCGGAAACGGUUGCUAAUACUGGAUAUGAGCUUGCAAGGCAUCUUGUGGGUUGGAAAGAUUUUUUUUGGUUGGGAUGGACUCGCGGCCCAUCAGCUUGUUGGUGAGGUAGUGGCUCACCAAGGCUUCGACGGGUAGCCGGCCUGAGAGGGCGACCGGCCACAUUGGGACUGAGAUACGGCCCAAACUCCUACGGGAGGCAGCAGUGGGGAAUAUUGCACAAUGGACGGAAGUCUGAUGCAGCAACGCCGCGUGCGGGAUGACGGCCUUCGGGUUGUAAACCGCUUUCAAUUGUGACGAAGCUUUUUUGUGACGGUAGCAGUAGAAGAAGCACCGGCUAACUACGUG